UGGUUCAGUGGUAGAAUCCUUGUCUACCACAUAGGAAAGCCUGGGUUUGAUUCCCAG
rnacentral:tRNA from 1 species